CCCGCUGAACUUAAGCAUAUCAAUAAGCGGAGGAAAAGAAAUUAACAAGGAUUCCCCUAGUAACUGCGAGUGAAGCGGGAAAAGCUCAAAUUUAAAAUCUGGCAGUCUUUUGGCUGUCCGAGUUGUAAUCUAGAGAAGUGCUAUCCGCGCUGGACCGUGUACAAGUCUCCUGGAAUGGAGCGUCAUAGAGGGUGAGAAUCCCGUCUUUGACACGGACUGCCAGGGCUUUGUGAUGUGCUCUCAAAGAGUCGAGUUGUUUGGGAAUGCAGCUCAAAAUGGGUGGUAAAUUCCAUCUAAAGCUAAAUAUUGGCGAGAGACCGAUAGCGAACAAGUACCGUGAGGGAAAGAUGAAAAGAACUUUGGAAAGAGAGUUAAACAGUACGUGAAAUUGCUGAAAGGGAAACGCUUGAAGUCAGUCGCGUUGUCCAGGGAUCAACCUUGCUUUUGCUUGGUGCACUUUCUGGUUGACGGGUCAGCAUCAAUUUUGACCGUUGGAAAAAGAUUAGGGGAAUGUGGCAUCUUAGGAUGUGUUAUAGCCCUUGGUUGCAUACAAUGGUUGGGAUUGAGGAACUCAGCACGCCGCAAGGCCGGGUUUUCAACCACGUACGUGCUUAGGAUGCUGGCAUAAUGGCUUUAAUCGACCCGUCUUGAAACACGG
rnacentral:rRNA from 1 species